rnacentral:lncRNA from 9 species
UUUUUUUUUUCUUUCAGUCCUCUGAGACUUGUUUAACCAAUUCCCUAUAUUAAAUUCUCUCUGAUGAAUGACCUGUUUUGGAUUCUGUCUUUUUUUUAGGGCCCCUCCCAUGGCAUGUGGAUGUUUCCAGGCUAGAUUUCGAAUGGGAUCUACAGCUGCAGGCCUACGCACAGCCACGCUAAAUCCGGGCUGCGUCUGUGACCUAUACCACAACUCAUGGCAAUGCCAGAUCCUUAACCCACUGAGGGAGGCCAGAGAUUGAACCCACAUCCUCAUGGAUGCUAGUGGGGUUCAUUACAGCUGAGACACGACGGCAACUCCAGGAUUCUGUCCUCUUGACCAGACCAUGAUUACAUAUUGGUUAUUUAACAAUUUCCAACACACCACGAUUUUUUUCCUCUUAGCAACUUUGGAUUCCAUUUUUUUAACUCAGUGAAUUUUGUUAUGUUUAUAGUUGUACAACCAUCAUCGCAACCUAAUUUUGCAAUGUUUCCAUUCCAAACCCACAGCUUAUCCCUCCCCCUCCCCCCAAACUGUCUCCUUUGGUAACGGUAAGUUUUUUAGUCUGCAAGUGUUUCUUCUCUGCAAAUAAGUUCAUUAUAUCCUUUUUUUUUCAGAUUUCACACAUAGGUGAUAGCAUAUGAUAUUUGUGUCUCAUUUUCUAACUUCACUUUGUAUAGUAAUUUCUAGGUCUAUCCAUGUUGCUGCAAAUGCUAUUGUUUCAUUCCUUUUUAUGGCUCAGUAAUAUUCCGCUGCACAUAUGUACCACACCUUCUUUAUCCACUCCUCUGUUGAUUUAGGACAUUUAGGUUGCUUCCAUGUCUUGGCUAUUGUACAUAGGCAACUAAAAAGGGGUCUAAAUUAUGCUAAAUAUAACAGCCAGUUAUUUAUGAAGGAAAUGAUGAAAUAUUUGCUUAUGUCAUCCAGGGCUUGAUAAAAUACUACUCUCCCUGGGAAAGAGGUUAAUACUUACCUGAAGUGCUAUGCUAUGACCUUCCUUUUCUGCAUUUGCUUUAAACCAACAGAUGCCCAAUAUGUCAUUCAUGCACCAAACUGCAAACUGAAUAAGAGCUGACCCCAAAUUUCAAAACAGCUUAAGCCUGGAGUUGCUGCUGUGGUGCAAGAGUCCACAGUUUAGUGUCUGACUGCAGUGGCUCAGGCUUUGAGAAGGCUUGGGUUCCAUCUCUGGCCUGAGGCAGUGGGUUAAAGAUCCAGUGUUGCUGCAGCUGUGGCUCGGAUUCAGUCCCUGGCCUGGGAACUUCCAUAUGCCUUGGGUGUGGCCAUAAAAAAAUAAAUUAAAAACUAAGAAAAAAACAGCUUAGGCCCCCUACCUCCUUACUGUUGUGACCCAUAGGUCAGCAGUGUUAUCUGUAGGGUUGGUUAUAGAGUCAAAUGACAAUUGAAAGUGUUAAAAGCAGAGGUGUUUUUUUUUUAGCAAGUUGUUUCCUGACCUGCUGUUCUGUAAGGCAGGCUCAAGAAUUUCUGUUAGUCACCAGUUUCUGUUAACCCUGUUUCAUUUUCCAGAAUGUUGUAAAGUGGGACUCCUACAGUAGGUAGCGUUUUCAGAAGGGGUUUCUUUCACUUGGUCAUAGACAUUUAAGUUUCCUCCAGGUCUAUUUGCAGCUUGGUAGCUCAUUUGUUUUUCUUUCUUUCUUUUUGUCUUUUUAGGGCCGAACACUCGGCAUGUAGAGGUUCUUAGGUUAGUGGGUCUAAUCAGAGCUGUAGCUGCAGGCCUACACCACAGCCACAGCAACUCGGGAUCCGAGCUGCAUCUGAGACCUACAGCAUAGCUCACGGCAAUGGAUCCUUAACCCACUGAGCGAGGACAGGGAUCGAACCUUCAUUCUAGUCAGAUUCAUUUCUGCUGGCACCACAAUGGGAACUCCUCAUUUCUUUUUAAUAGUUUUAAUUCUUUCUUCCUUUCUGUUUUGGCCAUACCUACGACAUGUGUAAUCCAGGCCAGGGACUCAAACCCAAGCCACAGCAGUGAUAAUGCUGGAUCCUUAACCAGCUGAGCCACCAGGGAAGUCUGUGAUACUUUUAAUUUUCUUUCUUUCUUCUUCUUCUUCUCUUUCUUUUUUUUUUUUUUUUUUUUUUUUUUGCUUCUUGCUUUUUAGAGCUGCAUCUGCGGCAUAGGGAGGUCCAACCAGGGGUAUAGCUGCCAGCCUACGCCACAGCCUACGCCACAGCAACAUCAGAUCCGAGUGGCAUCUGCAACCUACAGCCACAGCUCACAGAAACCCUGGAUCUUUAACCCACUGAGUAAAGCCAGGGAUCGAACCUGCAACCUCAUGGUUCCUAGUCGGAUUUGUUUCUGCUGCACCAUGACAGGAACUCCUAAUUUUCUUUUUCUUUCUGUCUGUCUGUCUGUCCUUUUUUUUUUUUUUGAUUUUUAGGGUCGAUCCUGCAUAUGUAAGUUUCCAGGGUAGGGGUCAAAUUGGAGCUAUAGCUGCCAGCCUACUCCAAAGCCACAGCAAUGUUGGAUCUAAGCCACAUCUGCGACCUAUACCACAGCUAACGGCAAUGCCAGAUCCUUAAUCCACUGAGUGAGGCCAGGGAACAAACUCACAUCCUCAUGGAUCUUAGUUGGGUUUGUUAACCAUUGAGCCAUGAAGGAACUCCUACGUUUAAUUUUCAAAGCUACCCUCUGAGAGGUUUAAUCAGCUCCAAUUUACACAUGAAGAGACAAAGGCCCAGGCCAUGCUAGUUGAAUGCCAGGGGCAGGGCUUUUGAAUGUAGAUCUGUUUCACUGUCUCUGUUCUGGGGGGAACCAGAAUUUGGCACCUCAAAAUGUCUCUUUGGCAUGUUAAUUAUUUUAAGCAGAUUAUUUUCUAAGGAACAGAGGAUCUGAAAGCAACUCUGCAAACCAAGAAGUUACCCUUUUGUAAGAAACAUCUUCAUUUGUAAGGGAAAUAUCCACUUGCAGGAGUGUCUUUCUUUUAUUCUUUUUUAAAAAAAUCUUUUUAGGGCUGCACCCACAGCACAUGGAGGCGCCUGGGCUAGGAGGCCAACUGGGGCUGUAGCUGCCAGCCUACGCCACAGUCACAGCUACUUGGGAUCCGAGCCACAUCUGCAAGCUAUACCACAGGUCAUGGUAUCCUCAGAUCCUUAACCCACUGAUUGAGGCUGGGGAUGGAACCUGCGUCCUCAUGGAUACUAGUCAGAUUCGUUUCUGCUGAGCCACGAUGGGAACACCUAGAAGUGUCUUUCUCCUUGUACCAGGAAGAGAAUGACCAGAUCUCUAGAAACUCUUAUCAAUGGAGGUGUUGGCUUGAAUGUGCCUCACAGCCUUACCUUGUU